rnacentral:rRNA from 1 species
GAUGAACGCUGGCGGCGCGCCUAACACAUGCAAGUCGAACGAGUGGCGAACGGCUGAGUAACACGUGGGCAACCUGCCCCCCGCACCGGGACAGCCUCGGGAAACCGUGGGUAAUACCGGGUAGCGGGGGAUGGGCCCGCGGCCUGUUAGCUAGUUGGCGGGGCAACGGCCACCAAGGCGUUAUGGGUAGCUGGGUUGAGAGACCGACCAGCCAGAUUGGGACUGAGACACGGCCCAGACUCCUACGGGAGGCAGCAGUGGGGAAUCUUGCGCAAUGGGGGCAACCCUGACGCAGCGACGCCGCGUGCGGGACGAAGGCCUUCGGGUCGUAAACCGCUUUCAGCAGGGACGCGGUACCUGCAGAAGAAGCCCCGGCUAACUACGUGCCAGCAGCCGCGGUAAUACGUAGGGGGCGAGCGUUAUCCGGAUUCAUUGGGCGUAAAGCGCUCGUAGGCUGCCCGCUAGGUCCGGGGUCAAUCCGGGGGCUCAACCCCCGCACGCCCCGGAUACCGGCGGGCUUGAGUCGGGUAGGGGAAGGCGGAAUUCCAGGUGUAGCGGUGGAAUGCGCAGAUAUCUGGAAGAACACCGGUGGCGAAGGCGGCCUUCUGGGCCUGACUGACGCUGAGGAGCGAAAGCUGGGGGAGCGAACAGGAUUAGAUACCCUGGUAGUCCCAGCCGUAAACGAUGGACGCUAGGUGUGGGGCCGUGCCGCAGCCAACGCAUUAAGCGUCCCGCCUGGGGAGUACGGCCGCAAGGCUACAACUCAAA